CAGCCGCCACGGUAAUACGAAGGGGGCUAGCGUUGUUCGGAUUUACUGGGCGUAAAGCGCACGUAGGCGGAUCCUUAAGUCAGAGGUGAAAUCCCAAGGCUCAACCUUGGAACUGCCUUUGAUACUGGGGAUCUCGAGCUCGGGAGAGGUGAGUGGAACUGCGAGUGUAGAGGUGAAAUUCGUAGAUAUUCGCAAGAACACCAGUGGCGAAGGCGGCUCACUGGCCCGAUACUGACGCUGAGGUGCGAAAGCGUGGGGAGCAAACAGGAUUAGAGACCCCCGUAGUCCCUGUCUCUUAUAC
rnacentral:rRNA from 1 species